rnacentral:rRNA from 1 species
UACGAAGGGUGCAAGCGUUACUCGGAAUUACUGGGCGUAAAGCGUGCGUAGGUGGUUUGUUAAGUCUGAUGUGAAAGCCCUGGGCUCAACCUGGGAAUUGCAUUGGAUACUGGCAGGCUAGAGUGCGGUAGAGGAUGGCGGAAUUCCGCGUGUAGUGGUGAAAUGCGUAGAGAUGCGGAGGAACACCAGUGGCGAAAGCGGCGCACUGGACCACAACUGACGCUGAGGCGCGAAAGCUAGGGGAGCAAACAGG